rnacentral:rRNA from 1 species
UUAAGCGACUAAGCGUACACGGUGGAUGCCCUGGCAGUCAGAGGCGAUGAAGGACGUGCUAAUCUGCGAUAAGCGUCGGUAAGGUGAUAUGAACCGUUAUAACCGGCGAUUUCCGAAUGGGGAAACCCAGUGUGUUUCGACACACUAUCAUUAACUGAAUCCAUAGGUUAAUGAGGCGAACCGGGGGAACUGAAACAUCUAAGUACCCCGAGGAAAAGAAAUCAACCGAGAUUCCCCCAGUAGCGGCGAGCGAACGGGGAGCAGCCCAGAGCCUGAAUCAGUGUGUGUGUUAGUGGAAGCGUCUGGAAAGGCGCGCGAUACAGGGUGACAGCCCCGUACACAAAAAUGCACAUAUUGUGAGCUCGAUGAGUAGGGCGGGACACGUGGUAUCCUGUCUGAAUAUGGGGGGACCAUCCUCCAAGGCUAAAUACUCCUGACUGACCGAUAGUGAACCAGUACCGUGAGGGAAAGGCGAAAAGAACCCCGGCGAGGGGAGUGAAAAAGAACCUGAAACCGUGUACGUACAAGCAGUGGGAGCCUCUUUUAUGGGGUGACUGCGUACCUUUUGUAUAAUGGGUCAGCGACUUAUAUUCUGUAGCAAGGUUAACCGAAUAGGGGAGCCGAAGGGAAACCGAGUCUUAACUGGGCGUUAAGUUGCAGGGUAUAGACCCGAAACCCGGUGAUCUAGCCAUGGGCAGGUUGAAGGUUGGGUAACACUAACUGGAGGACCGAACCGACUAAUGUUGAAAAAUUAGCGGAUGACUUGUGGCUGGGGGUGAAAGGCCAAUCAAACCGGGAGAUAGCUGGUUCUCCCCGAAAGCUAUUUAGGUAGCGCCUCGUGAAUUCAUCUCCGGGGGUAGAGCACUGUUUCGGCAAGGGGGUCAUCCCGACUUACCAACCCGAUGCAAACUGCGAAUACCGGAGAAUGUUAUCACGGGAGACACACGGCGGGUGCUAACGUCCGUCGUGAAGAGGGAAACAACCCAGACCGCCAGCUAAGGUCCCAAAGUCAUGGUUAAGUGGGAAACGAUGUGGGAAGGCCCAGACAGCCAGGAUGUUGGCUUAGAAGCAGCCAUCAUUUAAAGAAAGCGUAAUAGCUCACUGGUCGAGUCGGCCUGCGCGGAAGAUGUAACGGGGCUAAACCAUGCACCGAAGCUGCGGCAGCGACACUAUGUGUUGUUGGGUAGGGGAGCGUUCUGUAAGCCUGUGAAGGUGUACUGUGAGGUAUGCUGGAGGUAUCAGAAGUGCGAAUGCUGACAUAAGUAACGAUAAAGCGGGUGAAAAGCCCGCUCGCCGGAAGACCAAGGGUUCCUGUCCAACGUUAAUCGGGGCAGGGUGAGUCGACCCCUAAGGCGAGGCCGAAAGGCGUAGUCGAUGGGAAACAGGUUAAUAUUCCUGUACUUGGUGUUACUGCGAAGGGGGGACGGAGAAGGCUAUGUUGGCCGGGCGACGGUUGUCCCGGUUUAAGCGUGUAGGCUGGUUUUCCAGGCAAAUCCGGAAAAUCAAGGCUGAGGCGUGAUGACGAGGCACUACGGUGCUGAAGCAACAAAUGCCCUGCUUCCAGGAAAAGCCUCUAAGCAUCAGGUAACAUCAAAUCGUACCCCAAACCGACACAGGUGGUCAGGUAGAGAAUACCAAGGCGCUUGAGAGAACUCGGGUGAAGGAACUAGGCAAAAUGGUGCCGUAACUUCGGGAGAAGGCACGCUGAUAUGUAGGUGAAGUCCCUCGCGGAUGGAGCUGAAAUCAGUCGAAGAUACCAGCUGGCUGCAACUGUUUAUUAAAAACACAGCACUGUGCAAACACGAAAGUGGACGUAUACGGUGUGACGCCUGCCCGGUGCCGGAAGGUUAAUUGAUGGGGUUAGCGCAAGCGAAGCUCUUGAUCGAAGCCCCGGUAAACGGCGGCCGUAACUAUAACGGUCCUAAGGUAGCGAAAUUCCUUGUCGGGUAAGUUCCGACCUGCACGAAUGGCGUAAUGAUGGCCAGGCUGUCUCCACCCGAGACUCAGUGAAAUUGAACUCGCUGUGAAGAUGCAGUGUACCCGCGGCAAGACGGAAAGACCCCGUGAACCUUUACUAUAGCUUGACACUGAACAUUGAGCCUUGAUGUGUAGGAUAGGUGGGAGGCUUUGAAGUGUGGACGCCAGUCUGCAUGGAGCCGACCUUGAAAUACCACCCUUUAAUGUUUGAUGUUCUAACGUUGACCCGUGAUCCGGGUUGCGGACAGUGUCUGGUGGGUAGUUUGACUGGGGCGGUCUCCUCCUAAAGAGUAACGGAGGAGCACGAAGGUUGGCUAAUCCUGGUCGGACAUCAGGAGGUUAGUGCAAUGGCAUAAGCCAGCUUGACUGCGAGCGUGACGGCGCGAGCAGGUGCGAAAGCAGGUCAUAGUGAUCCGGUGGUUCUGAAUGGAAGGGCCAUCGCUCAACGGAUAAAAGGUACUCCGGGGAUAACAGGCUGAUACCGCCCAAGAGUUCAUAUCGACGGCGGUGUUUGGCACCUCGAUGUCGGCUCAUCACAUCCUGGGGCUGAAGUAGGUCCCAAGGGUAUGGCUGUUCGCCAUUUAAAGUGGUACGCGAGCUGGGUUUAGAACGUCGUGAGACAGUUCGGUCCCUAUCUGCCGUGGGCGCUGGAGAAUUGAGGGGGGCUGCUCCUAGUACGAGAGGACCGGAGUGGACGCAUCACUGGUGUUCGGGUUGUCAUGCCAAUGGCACUGCCCGGUAGCUAAAUGCGGAAGAGAUAAGUGCUGAAAGCAUCUAAGCACGAAACUUGCCCCGAGAUGAGUUCUCCCUGACCCUUUAAGGGUCCUGAAGGAACGUUGAAGACGACGACGUUGAUAGGCCGGGUGUGUAAGCGCAGCGAUGCGUUGAGCUAACCGGUACUAAUGAACCGUGAGGCUUAACCUU